rnacentral:rRNA from 1 species
AUCAAGCUACUAAGGGCUUACGGUGGAUGCCUUGGUGCCAGGAGACGAUGAAGGGCGUGACAGGCUGCGAUAAGCUUCGGGGAGCCGCUUAAUAGGCUACGAUCCGGAGAUUCCCGAAUCGGGCAACCGAGCAGGUUAAUCCCUGCUACUCGUGUUUACACGAGGGAUAACCAGGAGAAGUGAAACAUCUCAGUACCCUGAGGAACAGAAAGAAAACCUCGAUUCCCCCAGUAGCGGCGAGCGAAAAGGGAACAGCCCAAACUCGAUAUAUGUUCAAGCCUGAACGCGUUGUAUAUCGGGGGUUGCGGGGUUCGUCGGGUGUGGGUUCAGACACACCGGAAGUGACCGUGCCGCUAGCUUAAUGCCUCUGGAAAGAGCAACCGGAGCGGGUAAAAGUCCCGUGAGCGAAAGCGGUGGCGCACUUCUUGACGGGUACCCCAAGUACUACGGGAUAGGCAAACCUGUAGGAAUCUAGGAGGACCACCUCCUAAGGCUAAAUACUCCCUGGCGACCGAUAGUGAACGAAGUACUGUGAAGGAAGUGGUGAAAAGCUCCCCCAUUAGGGAAGUGAAAAGUCCCUGAAACCGUAUAGUCUACAAGCUGUGGUAGUGCUAGGUCACGCAAGUGACACGCACAACCGCGUGCCUUUUGCAUAAUGAGCCGGUGACUUACUCUGUGUAGCAAGAUUAAACAUUUUUGAUGUGGAGUCGUAGCGAAAGCGAGUCUGAAUAGGGCGUGCAGUUGCAUGGAGUAGACCCGAAACCAAGUGAUCUAUCCAUAGGCAAGGUGAAGCAUAUGUAAAAAUAUGUGGAGGCCUGAACCCACCAAGGCUGAAAACUUGGGGGAUGACCCGUGGAUCGGAGUGAAAGGCUAAUCAAACUUGGUGAUAGCUGGUUCUCCCCGAAAUAGCUUUAGGGCUAGCCUCAUGUGUUCGGCAGUGGCGGUAGAGCUCUAAUUGGACUCGCGGCCCUACCAGGUUAGCAACUCCAGUUAAACUGCAAAUGCCAUUGUCUUAAGCAUGGGAGUCAGUCAGUGGGGGAUAAGCUCCAUUGACGAAAGGGAAACAGCCCAGACCACCAGCUAAGGUCCCUAAAUACAUACUAAGUGGUAAAGGAUGUUUUGUUGCUGAGACAGCCAGGAUGUUGGCGUAGAAGUGGCAACCAUUUAAAGAGUGUGUAAUAACUCACUGGUUGAGCGACUUUGCACCGAAGAUUUCCGGGGCUAAGUAUGUUACCGAAGCUGUGGAUAUCCCGUAAGGGGCCCGUCAGGGUUCCGUCAGGGGUAUGGUAGGGGAGCGUUCUAUAGUAGGACUGAAGGAGAAUCGUAAGACGCUCUGGACGAAUUAGAAGUGAUUAUGCCGGCAUGAGUAGCGAUAAAACGAGUGAGAAGCUUGUUCGCCGAAAGCCUAAGGAUUCCUGAGGAAGGUAAAUCCUCUCAGGGUUAGUCGGAACCUAAGCCGAGGCCGAAAGGCGUAGGCGAUGGGAAGCAGGCGUAAUAUUCCUGCACCACCAUGACACGGAUGAAACUAGGGGAGACGCAGACAUUAAGGACUACCAGCGGAUGGAAGUGCUGGGUUAAGCCCGACGGAGUGCACCAGGCAAAUCCGGUGCAAUCAACUCCCGAAGGUGAACAGGAUUCCGUAAGGAUGCAAACUGUCCCGACUGUCUGCCAAGAAAAGAACCUCGAGUGGACAACUCAUGGUGACCGUACCGUAAACCGACACAGGUAGGCGAGGAGAGAAUCCUAAGGCGCUCGAGAGAACUCUUGCUAAGGAACUCGGCAAAAUGACCCCGUAACUUCGGGAGAAGGGGUGCUUUGAGUAAGUGCCGCGUUUCGACGUGAUACUGAAAAAAGCCGCAGUGAAAUGGCCCGUGCGACUGUUUACUAAAAACACAGGUCUCUGCUAAAUCGUAAGAUGAUGUAUAGGGACUGACGCCUGCCCGGUGCCAAAAAGUUAAGGUGAGGAGUGAAGGGCAACUGGAAGCUCCGAACUGAAGCUCUGGUAAACGGCGGCCGUAACUAUAACGGUCCUAAGGUAGCGAAAUUCCUUGUCGGGUAAGUUCUGACCUGCACGAAUGGCGUAACGACAUGGGCACUGUCUCGGCAAGAGACUCGGCGAAAUUGUAAUACCGGUGAAGAUGCCGGUUACCCGUACCAAGACGGAAAGACCCCGUGAACCUUUACUAUAGCCUGAUAUUGGGUUUUAAUGUUGCAUGUGUAGGAUAGGUGGGAGACUUUGAAACUGGGGCGCCAGCUUCAGUGGAGUCGCACUUGAAAUACCACUCUUGUUGCAUUGGAAUUCUAACUCCGGCACGUGAAUCCGUGCCGAGGACAGUGUCAGGUGGGUAGUUUGACUGGGACGGUCGCCUCCCAAAAUGUAACGGAGGCAUCCUAAGGUUCCCUCAGCGCGAUUGGAAACCGCGCGUAGAGUGCAAAGGCAGAAGGGAGCUUAACUGCGAGACGGACACGUCAAGCAGAUGCGAAAGCAGGGCUUAGUGAUCUUACGGUGCUGUGUGGAAAGGCCGUAACUCAAUGGAUAAAAGGUACUCCGGGGAUAACAGGCUAGUCGCACCCGAGCGCUCACAGCGACGGUGCGGUUCGGCACCUCGAUGUCGGCUCGUCACAUCCUGGGGCUGCAGCAGGUCCCAAGGGUUCGGCUGUCCGCCGAUUAAAGUGGCACGCGAGCUGGGUUUAGAACGUCGUAAGACAGUUCGGUCCCUAUCUGGUACGGGCGUAGGAUAUUUGAGAGAUGCUGCCCCUAGUAUGAGAAGACCGGGGUGGACGUACCUCUAGUGCACCAGUUGUCACGCCAGUGGCACCGCUGGGUAGCUAUGUACGGAGAGGAGAAACGCUGAAAGCAUCUAAGCGUGAAACCUCCCUCAAGAUAAGAUAUCCCACAACGUUAAGUUGGUAAGGCUCCUUCGAGAUAAGAAGGUUGAUAGGCCAGAUGUGUACACCGUGUGAGCGGUUCAGCUAACUGGUACUAAUAAGCCGAGGGCUUGAU